AAUAAGGUAUAUUAAGCAUUGGUUAUAAAGUCUUAUUUAUUGUGACUGAAUUUGUAUCAGAAUUUAUACAUGGUUUUAUGUUAGCCACUUUUCAGGCUAUAUCCUUUAUUACCAAACUAUAUUGCAUUAAUGAAGAUGGGUUAUGUGAAAGAAAAACUGGAUACUGCAUCUACUAACUGUCCUCAUCUGGAAGAAGAUAUCCAAUGUUUAGAGCAGGAUUUAUUGUCCAUAAAAAGCAUCCAAAAGGAAUGGGAACAUUUAGAGAAGAAUCAGGAGGACUUAGAAGAGAAAUUCCUGACAUUCAAAGAUCUUAUUCACGAGUAUAUGGACUGAGGAAGAGCUAGAGGCUGCCAACAGAAAAUGUUUGCUGAAGAAAGAGAAGAGAUCUUUACACAGUAGUCACCGUGCAAGGUCAGUCCUGGAAAAAGAGGCAGAGGAAGAUGGCAAAACAGAGCAGUAGACAAAUAGAAGCUACUGCUGAACUUGAUUCUACGCAGUUGGAAGCUUCUCACUCAUGACUGAUUGAAAUGUCAUCUCAGUAGCUACCUUAGGGAGAAUGACAAGAAUUUACAGAUACCUUAUAUAAUAAGUGUAUUUAUGAUAGUUAAAAUUUUGUUUGUUGGACUGUAUAUAUAUAU